GAGGAUGAGCGAGCGGCAGCAGAGAUCUAUGAGGAGUUUCUUGCCGCUUUUGAAGGAGGAGGAGAGGGCAAAGUUAAGGCCUUUGUCCGCGGCGGCAUUGCAAAUGCAACAAAAGAGGAGGCAGCUGCCGAUGAAAAGAAAGGAAAGUUGUACAAACCCAAGUCGCGCUUCGAAACCCAAACAAAAAGCUUCUUGCCUUUGGAAACCCCACCUCAGUUUUUAGCAUUAGACAAGAGACACUCUUUGAAGAAAACCACUGAGAAGGAAAAGAAGAAGAGCAACUUGGAGCUCUUCAAAGAAGAACUUAAGCAGAUACAAGAGGAA